CACUCCUGCGGGAGGCAGCAGUGGGGAAUUUUGGACAAUGGGCGAAAGCCUGAUCCAGCAAUGCCGCGUGAGUGAAGAAGGCCUUCGGGUUGUAAAGCUCUUUUGUCAGGGAAGAAACGGUGAAAGCUAAUAUCUUUUGCUAAUGACGGUACCUGAAGAAUAAGCACCGGCUAACUACGUGCCAGCAGCCGCGGUAAUACGUAGGGUGCAAGCGUUAAUCGGAAUUACUGGGCGUAAAGCGUGCGCAGGCGGUUUUGUAAGUCUGAUGUGAAAUCCCCGGGCUCAACCUGGGAAUUGCAUUGGAGACUGCAAGGCUAGAAUCUGGCAGAGGGGGGUAGAAUUCCACGUGUAGCAGUGAAAUGCGUAGAUAUGUGGAGGAACACCGAUGGCGAAGGCAGCCCCCUGGGUCAAGAUUGACGCUCAUGCACGAAAGCGUGGGGAGCAAACAGGAUUAGAAACCCUGGUAGUCCCA
rnacentral:rRNA from 1 species